rnacentral:rRNA from 1 species
GACGAAGGAUGCAGGCGUUAUCCGGAUUCAUUGGGUUUAAAGGGUGCGUAGGCGGACUUGUAAGUCAGUGGUGAAAUCUCUCAGCUUAACUGAGAAACUGCCAUUGAUACUGCAGGUCUAGAGUAUAGAUGACGUUGGCGGAAUAUGACAUGUAGUGGUGAAAUACUUAGAUAUGUCAUAGAACACCGAUUGCGAAGGCAGCUAACGAAAACUAUAACUGACGCUGAGGCACGAAAGUGCGGGGAUCAAACAGG